AUUGAACGCUGGCGGCAUGCUUUACACAUGCAAGUCGAACGGCAGCAUAGGUGCUUGCACCUGAUGGCGAGUGGCGAACGGGUGAGUAAUAUAUCGGAACAUGUCCGGAAGUGGGGGAUAACGUAGCGAAAGUUACGCUAAUACCGCAUAUGCCCUGAGGGGGAAAGGGGGGGAUCGCAAGACCUCUCGCUUUCGGAGUGGCCGAUAUCGGAUUAGCUAGUAGGUGAGGUAAAGGCUCACCUAGGCGACGAUCCGUAGCUGGUCUGAGAGGAUGAUCAGCCACACUGGGACUGAGACACGGCCCAGACUCCUACGGGAGGCAGCAGUGAGGAAUAUUGGACAAUGGAGGAAACUCUGAUUCAGCCAUACCGCGUGGGUGAAGAAGGCCUUCGGGUUGUAAAGCCCUUUUGUUGGGAAAGAAAUCCAGCCGGCUAAUACCUGGUUGGGAUGACGGUACCCAAAGAAUAAGCACCGGCUAACUUCGUGCCAGCCGCCGCCGUAA
rnacentral:rRNA from 1 species